UGUGUGUGUGUGUGUGUGUGUGUGUGUGUGUGUUUGUGUGUGUGUGUGUGUGAAACCGGUAGCGUGUGUUUGUGUGCCUGAAAGUGAAAGAGUUAUCAGUGUUUUACAGUGUGACGGGACACUAUUGGUGUGGGGGGGGUGGGGGGGGGGGGUUCUGGGCGUAUGGCAGUGAUACUUUAAGUGCAAAACAAAAGAGAAUGGGACAAAGACAAGCUUCGUCACGGACUAUGGCACUCGGCACCUCAUAUCCCUUCAGGCUGAGGGAGAGACGACGGAGAGAUCGUCGUCGGACCCGUCGGGUCAAGCAGAUAUUUCCUUCACCAGUCCGUCCUCAUCUGUCCGUGUCCUCCUCUGUGGCCUGACCCUAAAAUAUAUAAACCCUGGCAGCCGGGACUCCUGGGUGUUGAUAUCCGUCGAAGAUUAGAGUCGUCGUCGGUGUGUUGAGGGACUGGAAAAAAACACGGAGUAGAGAAAAUGGAGCCCAAGGGAGAAGAGGACGGUGGUGGAUCUUUGCUGAACUUUAUAGCCUGACUACCUUCAGUCGGGCUCGCCUUGUCCAGGAUGGACUGAAAGGGUGAGGGUGGGAGAUGCUAGAGGGAGAAAUAUGGGAUAUUUUAAUAUGAGAGAGUAUGGAGGGAGCUGGUAGUUUAGAAUCUCCUAAACUACUCCUUCCUUUUUAAGUCAAGGACCUGUUUUAUUUUUGUUUUGUUUUUAUUUUUGUUUUCAUUGUAUGCCACAGCCACUUAUUCAGUUAAAUUUGUCUUUUUUUUUUUUUUUUAAAUGUUUGUUUCCAGCCAUUU